rnacentral:misc_RNA from 1 species
AGAACGCAGCGAAAUGCGAUAAGUAAUGUGAAUUGCAGAAUUCAGUGAAUCAUCGAAUCUUUGAACGCACAUUGCGCCCGCCAGCACUCUGGCGGGCAUGCCUGUUCGAGCGUCAUUUCAACCCUCAGAACCCCUUGCGGGAUCUGGCGUUGGGGAUUGGCAUCCAGCCAGCCCCGAAAUCUAGUGGCGGUCCCUCCGCGACCUCCCCUGUGCAGUAGCGAUACCUCGCAGCGGGACAGCGGUCUGACCACGCCGUAAAACCCCCAACUUCUCAAGGUUGACCUCGAAUCAGGUAGGAAUACCCGCUGAACUUAAGC